UUGCCAGACUCCUACGGGAGGCAGCAGUGGGGAAUAUUGGACAAUGGGGGGAACCCUGAUCCAGCGACGCCGCGUGAGUGAAGAAGUAUUUCGGUAUGUAAAGCUCUAUCAGCAGGGAAGAAAGAAAUGACGGUACCUGACUAAGAAGCCCCGGCUAACUACGUGCCAGCAGCCGCGGUAAUACGGAGGAUGCGAGCGUUAUCCGGAUUUAUUGGGUUUAAAGGGUGCGCAGGCGGAAGAUCAAGUCAGCGGUAAAAUUGAGAGGCUCAACCUCUUCGAGCCGUUGAAACUGGUUUUCUUGAGUGAGCGAGAAGUAUGCGGAAUGCGUGGUGUAGCGGUGAAAUGCAUAGAUAUCACGCAGAACUCCGAUUGCGAAGGCAGCAUACCGGCGCUCAACUGACGCUCAUGCACGAAAGUGUGGGUAUCGAACAGGAUUAGAUACCCGUGUAG
rnacentral:rRNA from 1 species